AUUUAUAUAGCUUAUAUAGAGCAUGGUAUUGAAGCUACCAAGGAAUUUUUUUUUGUAAAUA
rnacentral:tRNA from 1 species